rnacentral:rRNA from 1 species
UUUUAGUCGACAGAAGAACCACAGGGAAUUGCCUCAGUAACGGUCGAGUGAAGCGGCAAAAGCUCAAAUUUGAAAUCUAGCACCUUCGGUGUUUGAGUUGUAAUUUGAAGAUGGUAACCUUGGGUUUGGCUCUUGUCUAUGUUCCUUGGAACAGGACGUCAUAGAGGGUGAGAAUCCCGUCUGAUGAGAUGCCCAUUCCUAUGUAAGGUGCUAUCGAAGAGUCGAGUUGUUUGGGAAUGCAGCUCUAAGUGGGUGGUAAAUUCCAUCUAAAGCUAAAUAUUGGCGAGAGACCGAUAGCGAACAAGUACAGUGAUGGAAAGAUGAAAAGAACUUUGAAAAGAGAGUGAAAAAGUACGUGAAAUUGUUGAAAGGGAAGGGCAUUAGAUCAGACUUGGUGUUUUACGAUUAUCUUCUCUUCUUGAGUUGUGCACUCGUAUUUCACUGGGCCAGCAUCGAUUCGGAUGGCAAGAUAAUGGCAGUUGAAUGUGGCUUCACUUCGGUGGAGUGUUAUAGCUUCUGCUGAUAUUGCCUGUCUGGAUCGAGGGCUGCGUCUUUUGACUAGGAUGCUGGCGUAAUGAUCUAAUGCCGCCCGUCUUGAAACCCGGGACCACA